GAGGCAAUUUAGUAAACGUGUCCCAAUGGUGUCAGUCUAUAAAAACUGUAACACACGCAGCUUCUAAACAUUGUGCUAUACAGAACUGCAACUUAGCUGAGCAUAUACCGGAUCAUGUCUUUGAAAAUCACGACAUUCAGCCUUUUUGCUCUCGCACUCUUGUUCAUCUGUGGAUAUCACGUCACUUCUGCCCAUCCUCAUCAAUGGAGCUACCCGGUAGUCUGCGACAAAAGACCUUGCGGUAGUGCAGAUGACUGUCCACAUGGCUGCCGAUGUGUAUUCUACAGAGCCCCGGGGCCAGAGGCGAAGAAAGGGCCCGCACAAAUGGUGUGCUCAGCCUAAAACAAAUAAGAAGGCCUGCCAUUUUCUGCAAUUUCAAAAUGAAGAAAAUAAAGUUUCAUGUGUA